rnacentral:rRNA from 1 species
AUUGAACGCUGGCGGCAGGCCUAACACAUGCAAGUCGAACGAGUGGCGGACGGGUGAGUAAUUUCUGGGAAACUGCCCGAUGGAGGGGGAUAACUACUGUAAACGGUAGCUAAUACCGCAUACCAUACUUUCUGCCCUGAUGGGAUUAGCUAGUAGGUGGGGUAACGGCUCACCAAGGCGUCGAUCCAUAGCUGGUCUGAGAGGCUGACCGGCCACACUGGGACUGAGACACGGUCCAGACUCCUACGGGAGGCAGCAGUGGGGAAUAUUGCGAAAGGGGCGAAAGCCUGAUGCAGCAAUGCCGCGUGUAUGAAGAAGGCCUUCGGGUUGUAAAGUACUUUCAGCGAGGAGGCGUUACUCGCAGAAGAAGCAACGGCUAACUCCGUGCCAGCAGCCGCGGUAAUUC